UGAGAGGGUAGUGCAGUGGUGUAUUUUGGAUUUGUGCUGCCCUAGGCAUGACUAAAUUUGGGCACCCCCAAAAUCUAAAUUUGCCCCCCCAAUUCGUGUCAAGGCCAUUUUUAUGACUGACAGACACAUGCCCUCAUUGAAACAUGCACUGAUAUACACUCACUGACAGAUACACAGUCAUUGGCACACACAUACAGUCAUUGGCACACACUGUUUAACCAACACACACUUUCACUGACAGACAUACACUAACACAC